rnacentral:lncRNA from 1 species
AGGGUAACACGUCCCAGGCGGCUGGUCAGCCUUUAUAAAGGGAUGGUCUUCUUAGUUUAGUGUCUCCGCUCUGGGAAGCUUAUGCUCUCUAACUCUCAAGAUGCAUUAAAGCUUGUCUGCAGAAGGAUCCGAGUGUCCCGUGUAUGAUUUCUUGCUGGCGAGAAAUACAGAGAGCGCGCGCGCGGGACAUAUGGUGCCGAAACCCGGGAAGCUUAACAUCUCCAGCACCGCGGAGACCCCUUGGCUACAGGGCGGAUUCAGAACUGCAGGAUGGUAAAUUCGGAGAGGUAUGUUUUUUUUCUGGACUUUGGCUUAGGAAUGUUGCUAUUGUGGGAGGUUAAUAUAGAGGCUUCUAUGCUUUUACUAGGAGCUAUUUUGACUUUUCUCACUGUUGUAGCAAUCUUAAAGAAGUCCAGAAUUACAUAUCAGAAACCGAAUGUGGUGAGAGAUGGGGCGCGCCUAACAAUAAAAUAUAAGAAAAAAGGACCUCCCGGAAUGUCUACUGACAAGGGAGUGUGUACAGCAACAAAUAAGAAAAAAGGACCUCCUGGAAUGUCUACUGACAAGGGAGUGUGUAAAGCUUUAAAUCUUGAUAGCUCUGAUGACUCUAAAAGCUCAAGAGAUAAAGUUUUAAAAGGAACAGCUCAGCUGGAUGAGGGAGAGACAGAAAAGGAGGGAGAGAGAAUGGGGAAUGGCCGGUCACACACCGGUAAAUUUAGGAGAGAUGAGGACUCGAAACCUAGCCUCUGCCCUACAACGAAACUGAAAGCCUUGGAGCUGAGCAGCUCAGACUCUGAGAUUUUAGACUCUAACAAGGAAGCAGAUCUAGAGAAAGAAGCAGCUCGAUACCACCCCGAUAGAUAUCGGCUGCCAAAAAUGCCAGCGGGUGUGCUUCCAUCAGCACCCCCACUAUUUGAUACCGACUCCUUUUUACCAUCAGAGGAGCGGAGAAAAUUACAGAUGGCUUUCCCAGUCUUUGAUAGGGGAAAAGGCCAUGCCUGCUAUUCAACACCUCUUGAAGGCCUGGAAUGCCUGGGGCUUUAAAGCCUCAUUAACAUUGACGCUCGGGCCAAGCGUCUCACCUCAAAAUCUAAAAGGCCAAAAGGAAAUGGUAAAAUGGAAAGAUAUCU